CAGGCUUAACACAUGCAAGUCGAGGGGCAGCAUGGUCUUAGCUUGCUAAGGCCGAUGGCGACCGGCGCACGGGUGAGUAACACGUAUCCAACCUGCCGUCUACUCUUGGACAGCCUUCUGAAAGGAAGAUUAAUACGAGAUGGCAUCAUGAGUCCGCAUGUUCACAUGAUUAAAGGUAUUCCGGUAGACGAUGGGGAUGCGUUCCAUUAGAUAGUAGGCGGGGUAACGGCCCACCUAGUCUUCGAUGGAUAGGGGUUCUGAGAGGAAGGUCCCCCACAUUGGAACUGAGACACGGUCCAAACUCCUACGGGAGGCAGCAGUGAGGAAUAUUGGUCAAUGGGCGAGAGCCUGAACCAGCCAAGUAGCGUGAAGGAUGACUGCCCUAUGGGUUGUAAACUUCUUUUAUAAAGGAAUAAAGUCGGGUAUGGAUACCCGUUUGCAUGUACUUUAUGAAUAAGGAUCGGCUAACUCCGUGCCAGCAGCCGCGGUAAUACGGAGGAUCCGAGCGUUAUCCGGAUUUAUUGGGUUUAAAGGGAGCGUAGAUGGAUGUUUAAGUCAGUUGUGAAAGUUUGCGGCUCAACCGUAAAAUUGCAGUUGAUACUGGAUAUCUUGAGUGCAGUUGAGGCAGGCGGAAUUCGUGGUGUAGCGGUGAAAUGCUUAGAUAUCACGAAGAACUCCGAUUGCGAAGGCAGCCUGCUAAGCUGCAACUGACAUUGAGGCUCGAAAGUGUGGGUAUCAAACAGGAUUAGAUACCCUGGUAGUCCACACGGUAAACGAUGAAUACUCGCUGUUUGCGAUAUACUGCAAGCGGCCAAGCGAAAGCGUUAAGUAUUCCACCUGGGGAGUACGCCGGCAACGGUGAAACUCAAAGGAAUUGACGGGGGCCCGCACAAGCGGAGGAACAUGUGGUUUAAUUCGAUGAUACGCGAGGAACCUUACCCGGGCUUAAAUUGCAGAUGAAUUACGGUGAAAGCCGUAAGCCGCAAGGCAUCUGUGAAGGUGCUGCAUGGUUGUCGUCAGCUCGUGCCGUGAGGUGUCGGCUUAAGUGCCAUAACGAGCGCAACCCUUGUUGUCAGUUACUAACAGGUCAUGCUGAGGACUCUGACAAGACUGCCAUCGUAAGAUGUGAGGAAGGUGGGGAUGACGUCAAAUCAGCACGGCCCUUACGUCCGGGGCUACACACGUGUUACAAUGGGGGGUACAGAGGGCCGCUACUACGCGAGUGGAUGCCAAUCCCCAAAACCUCUCUCAGUUCGGACUGGAGUCUGCAACCCGACUCCACGAAGCUGGAUUCGCUAGUAAUCGCGCAUCAGCCACGGCGCGGUGAAUACGCUCCCGGGCCUUGUACACACCGCCCGUCAAGCCAUGGGAGCCGGGGGUACCUGAAGUGCGUAACCGCGAGGAGCGCCCUAGGGUAAAACUGGUGACUGGGGCUAA
rnacentral:rRNA from 1 species